CACGUAGGGUGCGAGCGUUGUCCGGAAUUAUUGGGCGUAAAGAGCUUGUAGGCGGUUUGUCGCGUCUGCUGUGAAAAUCCGGGGCUCAACCCCCGGACUUGCAGUGGGUACGGGCAGACUAGAGUGUGGUAGGGGAGACUGGAAUUCCUGGUGUAGCGGUGAAAUGCGCAGAUAUCAGGAGGAACACCGAUGGCGAAGGCAGGUCUCUGGGCCACUACUGACGC
rnacentral:rRNA from 1 species